rnacentral:rRNA from 1 species
UACGGAGGGUGCAAGCGUUAAUCGGAAUUACUGGGCGUAAAGCGCACGCAGGCGGUCUGUCAAGUCGGAUGUGAAAUCCCCGGGCUCAACCUGGGAACUGCAUUCGAAACUGGCAGGCUUGAGUCUUGUAGAGGGGGGUAGAAUUCCAGGUGUAGCGGUGAAAUGCGUAGAGAUCUGGAGGAAUACCGGUGGCGAAGGCGGCCCCCUGGACAAAGACUGACGCUCAGGUGCGAAAGCGUGGGGAGCAAACAGGAUUAGAUACCCUGGUAGUCCACGCCGUAAACGAUGUCUACUUGGAGGUUGUGCCCUUGAGGCGUGGCUUCCGGAGCUAACGCGUUAAGUAGACCGCCUGGGGAGUACGGCCGCAAGGUUAAAACUCAAAUGAAUUGACGGGGGCCCGCACAAGCGGUGGAGCAUGUGGUUUAAUUCGAUGCAACGCGAAGAACCUUACCUGGUCUUGACAUCCACAGAACUUUCCAGAGAUGGACUGGUGCCUUCGGGAACUGUGAGACAGGUGCUGCAUGGCUGUCGUCAGCUCGUGUUGUGAAAUGUUGGGUUAAGUCCCGCAACGAGCGCAACCCUUAUCCUUUGUUGCCAGCGGUUAGGCCGGGAACUCAAAGGAGACUGCCAGUGAUAAACUGGAGGAAGGUGGGGAUGACGUCAAGUCAUCAUGGCCCUUACGACCAGGGCUACACACGUGCUACAAUGGCGCAUACAAAGAGAAGCGACCUCGCGAGAGCAAGCGGACCUCAUAAAGUGCGUCGUAGUCCGGAUUGGAGUCUGCAACUCGACUCCAUGAAGUCGGAAUCGCUAGUAAUCGUGGAUCAGAAUGCCACGGUGAAUACGUUCCCGGGCCUUGUACACACCGCCCGUCACACCAUGGGAGUGGGUUGCAAAAGAAGUAGGUAGCUUAACCUUCGGGAGGGCGCUUACCACUUUGUGAUUCAUGACUGGGGUGAAGUCGUAACAAGGUAACCGUAGGGGAACCUGCGGUUGGAUCACCUCCUUACCUUAAAGAAGC